CAUUUGCUGAUCCAACUCCAUUAGAGUAAUAUCAUAUUUGUAGUGCAUGCGUCAGUGCUUGCGCUGUACCCCUGUCCUCUCCUCAUCAAAUAAUCUGAGUAAUCUAAUAGAAGUACUCUCUAAAACUACCUAAUCUAACAUUUUUGUUGCUAUUCUACCCUUUCCCUUUUAAUGGGAUUCUUUAUUCAAUAAAUUACACAUACGGCUUACUGCAAUCAGAUCCAGCUUACCAAAAAACAAGUAGAAAAUGACCUUUGAAAGUUGAAAGUAGCCGCCUUUUGCCGAAUUAACAAAACCCACAAUUACUUUAUAUUAAAAUUUCUUAAAAAGGGAAAAAAAUGGAAGAAAUACGACAAACAGAGGACCCUUGUGUUGUUUUAUACAAGUGUUCUUAUUUGAAGUGUGUGAAUUGUGUGUUGCAGCAGGAGAAGCCAGGAGAUGAUGGGUUCAGGUCAAGAAGAAAGGGCCAGGCUGAUUGUAUACGAAGAAGAUGAAAUGAAUCAAGGGUUUAAGAGAAGAGUAUGGGAAGAAUCAAAAAGGAUGUGGGCAAUUGCAUUUCCUGCAAUGGUGUGCCGUGUAACAACUUAUGGAGCUUAUGUGGUUUCUCAAGCUUCUUUUGGGCAUAUUACUCAAGUUGAUCUUGCUGCUUAUGCUCUUGUACAAACCAUUUUAGUCCGCUUUUCUAAUGGUAUCCUGCUAGGCAUGGCAAGUGUGACGGAAACUCUUUGUGGAGAAGCCUAUGGAGCGAAACAAUAUGACAUUCUGGGAGUACACUUACAAAGGUCAUGGAUUGUAAAUUCUGCUGUAGCAACUGCAAUGGUGCCGUUCUAUGUUUAUGCUACACCUCUCCUCCGAGUCCUAGGGCAAGAGGAGGAUAUUGCUGUUGCUGCUGGAAUCAUAUCAUUGUGGUUCAUCCCCGUUCUAUAUCUCAAUGUUUAUGGCAUGACAAUGCAAAUGUUUUUGCAAGCCCAACAUAAAAAUACAGUGGUUACAUGGCUGUUUACGAUAUUGUUUUUUGUGCAUGCCUUGCUGUCAUGGGUUUUUGUGUAUAUAAUGAAUUGGGGGCUUCCUGGGGUAAUGAUUGCAUUGAUCAUUGCAUUUGGGGUAAAAGUUCUAGGUGAGGCUAUUUACAUAUUUGGAGGUUGGUGCCCUGUUACUUGGAAGGGAUUUGAUAGAGCCGCCUUUGCUGAACUAAUGCCUGUUCUUAAGUCCUCAACUUCUUCAGGAGUGAUGCUUUGCAUCCAGGUCUGGUACAAUGCUGUUCUUGUUCUAUUAGCAGGAUAUAUGAAAUAUGCAACAGUUGCCAUUUCUGCUUUCUCCAUUUGCCUAAAUGUGAGUACAUGGGAGCUGAUGAUAUGCCUUGGCUUUCUUGGUGCUGCAUGUGUUCGAGUUUCAAAUGAGCUUGGAAGAGGAAAUGGCAAGGCAGCAAAGUUUUCGGUUGAAGUGAUCUUAUAUACUUCACUUUUCAUUGGCAUAUUCUUUUGGAUUUUAUGUUUGGCAUUUGGCCAUCAGAUUUCCUACUUAUUUACAAGUAGUGAGGAAGUUGCAAAAGCUGUGUCUAGCCUUUCUGUUCCGCUUGCCUUUUCAAUCCUGCUUAAUAAUGUUGGACCAGUAUUAUCAGGGGUGGCAAUUGGCUGUGGUUCGCAAGGAUUAGUCGCAAUUGUUAAUAUGUGUUCGUAUUAUGUUAUCGGGAUCCCAGUUGGAGUUCUUCUUGCAUAUGCUGCAGAUUUAGAGGUUAAAGGAAUAUGGAUAGGAAUGAUGUGUGGAAUGGUGACACAGACAAUUGCACUACUCUACAUUACUUGGAAAAUUGAUUGGGCUGAAGAGGUAAUAUGAAGCCAUUUUUAAUUUUCACUCUAUUCACUUGCAGUUUCUUUUUAGGGGCAAUCUCAUUAGUUAUCCCAAGUUUAUGGAUGUUCUCUUUGGUAAGCCAAAAGAUUUAUUCUCCAUGGUAGCCCUUUGUUUCAAAAAGUUAUCCAUCAUGGCAAGAAUGAGCUUAAAACAAUUGGACUACUUUAACUUUGUUAACCAAGGUUAGUAUCAAAGGAAAUGGCAUUUUAACCAUUUUUCUAAACAUAUUGAGCUAAAAAGGAAUAAAUGGAACCACCCAUUCCUUCAAUUUAUUACUCUUGCUCUUUUGAUUUAAUGCAACGUUGGAGGAAUUUUUUUUAAUGUCAUCAAAUAUUCUGAAAUCUCUAAACUUGUUCUGCAGAUAUUAUAAAUAGCUUAUUUUAAUGCUCCAAAAUUUGUAUACAAAAUAACUAAAGCGUGACCUUUUGUGUAACAAAAAAUGAACUCUAAUCUGUAUAAACCAAAACUGAACUCUUACAAAAAAGAAUUACACCUUCUAGUCCUCGACUACACAGGUUGAGAUGCGGAAAUGGGAAAGGGUACUUGUCUUAGAUAUAUCCUUCUUAUUCCGUCCAACAAAUUUGUUUGCUGUCAAAGUUCUCUUGCAAGUCAUUGCAUUGUGCCCAAAUGACUUGCACAGUUGCAGUUGCUGCAGUUGUGGUUUUUUUUUUCUUCUCUUCGUUCUUCUUCAUCAUCUCUCUUGCUGUUUCUGCAAGGCCUCCCUACCCAUGAUCUCAGGUCCAUCAAUAUCUGGCCAUUGUAUAGGAUAUAAACUUGAUCCCAUAAGAAUAAGUAACCUUAUAAUUUCUAAUAGAGUUCAAUCAUGUGCAAACUGAUGUAUCGUGGGUCCAACCUUCCAUGUAUAACUUCUCUCCUCAUAUCUGCCAAGAACCACAUAAGCACUUUGUUUGUUAAGGCUGACAGGAAGAAAGCGUGUCUCUAAGACAUGAUAGAGGGUCUUGUCGAAAACCCUAAGCUUUUGAGGGACCUUUAAAUGGACAAUAUUGGAGAGAUACUUUGAUGUGGGCAUCCUCCUAAAGAAGUCCUAGAGAGAAAACAAGAAAAGAGAGCCACCUAAUGAGGGGGAGUAGCCUUCAAGAAAGAUUUCUCAAUUGCAAAGGGUUUAAGGGGUUGCGCAAUGAGAGCUUGUAAGCAUAGUACAAAUAUUGCAUACAUCACUGUACCGUAAAAUUUUUAAGCUUACUGUGACCAAAAUUUAGGCUAAACAACUGCAAAAUCAUUUGCAUUGAUCACAAAAGGUGUUUUUCGACCAUUUUGCAAUCACCACUAGUUUCAAGAUUUUGUAACAUGCUUGCAAAAGCUAGGUGAGCAUCAAAUCAUAAGGUUUUGAGAGAGAAAACACUAGAGCACUUAGAGAACCAAAAAGAGUGUAAUCUUAUUGUUUAUGUAAUUGUUGCAACACGUUAAUGAUCAAAUCUAUUGAUUAAGAAAGGGUAACAAAGUUAAUCGUAAUUAUUGUGUAUUGUUAUUGUUUAUGACAUUUUUAUAUUGCUCUUGUUGUGUUUUGGUUGCUUGUAUUUGACACGCAGUUGUUCGCACGACCACGGUUGUCAAAGAUAAAGAUUUAUAACCUGAUCACCUAUAGAUAGAUUUAGUCUUAUGAUAAAUUCAAGUCAAAAUUUCUUGUGUUUAAAAAUAAAGAUUUAUAACAUUUAUGCAAGGAUGAUCAUCAUAGUGGGCAGACUCACACUAUUAAACUUCAAAUUCUGAAAAACAACUAACCAUGGGAAUCGGGAGAUGCGAAAAUCAUGACUAAUAUCAUAACAUUAAAACAUAAAUAGAAAUAAAAUCAGCAUCAUAUCGAAAUAGGAUUGACGUUGGAAUCUAAAUUAGACUUAGCGUUGGUGUACCUUCAAAGUCUAAAGCCUAAUUUGGAAGAACUAAGCAAAUGACCCAAUUGGUGUACCGUGAAACUAGAUGAACAUUCUAAUAUAAACACGUUGCACAUCAUGAUUAAACUAGCAAACAAUCAAACCAGUACAAGAUAGGCAAUUAUGAACCCAUUCAAAUUAUGUUUCUAUUCAAUUAUUCAAUCAUUUGAUAUGAUUUUACCCCUUUUUACCCUAUAAGUAAUCUUUAGCGACAUAAAUAGAUAUAAACUAUGUAAGCAAUAAAGAAAGCAACCAAAGAACAUGAGAGACGAAGAAGAGAAUUUAACUUUAUCCAAAUCAAUAAAUGAAGGCAUUUGAGGUGUCAAACUAAAAAAAAGACAAUGUUCUCAAUGAACUAGGGUACUAUGUGUACUAAAAGUAGGGAUAAAAGAUAUAUUUUAGUCUAAAAGGCUCGAAAUGGUCGAAAUUGUAAUAUCUCGUAUUGGGCUUUGGGCCCCACACAUCUAGAGAGAUUAUUGUAUUUCAUUUGGCUAUAAGCUUGUACUCUAGUGUCUGUUUGAGGCAUAUAAUAUGUCGAAGGAAAACUCUUGAAGUCUAGUUUCAAACACUAUAGGUCUUGCAUCAUUUUGACUUCUUAAUCAAAAGUUAUGAUCAAAAUAGUAGCCCUUUUCUUAUCUUCUUGGCCCAACUUUACCAAGUCUUAUAAAUGUGUUUCUAUCAAUUAGUACAUCUCAUUUUCACAUCUUUAUGUGAUAUAACCUUUAAACAACAAAGGGGCACAAAACUCUCGAACAAGAGUAAAAUCCAUUGUAAAACAUGAGAUUUAAUAUGGAAACAAGUAUUACGCACAUAAAAUGGGGGCUAAAAUUCAUAGAAAAAUAGGACACAUUGGUUUACUUUACCCUAAAUCUACUCCUAUUUCAUAACAAUUGUUAUGGAGAGUCUAAUGUUGUUGAUCCUUAAAGUCUUUGUUAUAGAUUUUUGAAUCAUUAAAGUUGUAGAGGAGAAAUAAAGCUAGGGGUCAAGAGAUGGUGGAUUACGAAAAUUUCUUUAUGGUUUUAAAGAAAAGAGGUUUUGUUUAAACCCUUAAUAAAAAAAUUAUACAAGGAUUAAAAAGUUUAAUGGAGUUUUCCUAGGAGGAGGGUGAAAUCAAGUAUUGAAGGACACUUAAUUGACUUUGGUGGAAGAGCGAUGAUGUGAAAUGAAGUCUUUGUUAUCAAGGAUUGAAAACUUUGAAGAAGCAACUAGGUAUAGUAGCAUUGAAAAGAAACAAAAUCCAUCUAAGGAUGGCAGUGAGGUGAAAUUAGGAUGUACCAUAGUAGAGAGGGAAACAAAAGUUAACUAUUGUGAGAACUGAGAACGUGUGCUUCCGUUGCAACAAUUAAAGGUUUGAGAGAAAAUGAAGAGUAAGGCAAACAUGAAAUAAAAAUAAGGUCGUUACAUUACAUAACAAUUGCUUUAUAACAAAUAUUGUGCUAAUCGAAUCGCAAAACCCCUUAAUCAUGGAAUAACAACCUUAUUAAGUUGUCAGUCUAACAUUUUGCCACAAUUAUCUUUUUUUUUUUGGUAGUGUAUUCGACUCUAAAAGUUCUAAUAUAAGCAUUUAUUCAAGUAUAUGUUCUAGGAUACUAGGGUACUUGAAUUACUAUGAUAAAACAAUUUUUUUUAAAGAUAAUAAUUCAAAUUGCGAUGGACACGAAAUGAGUUGUAACACCGUGAAGUGCCGCAUCCGCGCAAUCACAACUAUCACCACAAGCACGACAGCGUCUGAAUUUUUUCUAUGCGUGCAAUGAAUCCAAUCAAAGACUUGGAAAGGUGAGGGUGCUAGCAAAGGGUGUAGGAAGAAGAUAAGAAGAAAAUAAAUGUCAAAAAGGACUUGAAGAAAAAGAGGAUUGCAUUUCAAAUGAGGAAGAUGGAAGAGUUGAAUCUUUGAUUAAGUUAUCAAAGAGAAUUGAAAAGUGGGAGAGUUCCCCAAUGUGGAGAGACAUGUGUUGAUGACCGAAAGUGAUGAUGGUAGUAGAGGUGAAUGGAUCUUUUACUAGAGGCACUCACCUCUAUUUUGUAGAGAUACGAAAAUGUUCUUGAACAUGAAGGCUUGUGAAGGUGAGAGGAUGUCUUUGCCGAGUGGAGAGGAAGUUGAGGUAGAAUUUAAUGGAAAAGUGUAUUUGAAGAUGCACAAUUGUGUUGUGAGGUUAUUUGGGAUUGUGAAAUAUCUUUCAAAGAUGAUGAGAAACCUUAUCUAGUUAAGGAGAUUAGUAAAAAAAGGAUGCACUAUCAAGCAUAGUGCAAAAAUAAGGUCGCAUCAUCAUAUCACGACUGUAUUGUGAAGAUUUUUUAGUUUACCGCGAUCGAAAUAUAGGCUGCAUUGACUGCAAAAAUUAUCCGUAUUGAUAUCGCGACUGAGGAUGGCUAGAUAGAGUAUGGUUCUAUUAAAAGGAUUGAUGAGGUGCAAUAAUGAUUAUGUGUUGCAUUGUGGAGGUAGCCAACAAGGCAAUAAGGAUGAUGCAAUGUUGAAGCCACUAAGAAGAAUGACGUUUUAAAGCCAUUGCCUGACGAAGAUUUGCGUUUUCGGAUGAGUAAGCACCAUUUUGCAUUGUGAAGAUUUGCUUGUCCGGAUGAGCAAACCACAUGCUCGGAUGAGAAAGCCUAAUGCUUAGACAAGCACCAUUUUGCAUGAAUAAGCAACAUUUUGAAGCCAUUGCCUGACGAAGAUUUGCGUGUCCGAGCAUACGUGCGUGCAGGUCAUCAAAGAGGUUUUUGUUGAAAACUUCAAGCAUUUGAGGGGCCUUUAUAAGACGAAACCGUUGAGAUAAUACAAUGUUGGAAAAUCUCCAAGAGAACUACUAAAGAGAGAGAACAAGAACCGAGAGCCACCGCUUAAGGAGGAGUAAUAUUCAAGAAUGAUCUCUCUAUUGUAGAGGGUUUGAGGGUAGCUCGUAAGAAAGCGUGUGAAAGCUAGUUGAGUGCCCCAAAGUGUGAGGGUUGAAGAGUGUUAAUACUAAGUAAGUUUGCGAGCAAAAAAUAGUGUUUCUAAUCUUAUUGUUAAUGUAAUUGUUGAGUUGCAUAUUAAUGACAAGUUUUGUUGGUUGAGGAAGGGCAACCAAAUUACCCAUAAUUUUUUUGUGUAUCAUUGUUAUUGGAACUUUCGUAUUGUUGUGGUUUGUGUGAUUGAAUUCUCUCAAACCUAAUGAAAUGCAAGUGUUUUGCAUGUUUGGUGACAAACAAAUACACAAAGUACACAAAAAAACAGAGCACAACAACCAACAAGAAGAAUAACAAGAUUUAUGAGGUAUCCAAGGAUAUCUCUCUCUCAAAUAAAGAUUACUUUUAUUAAUAUACUCAACAAUACAUUAAUGACAAGCCUCACAACCUUUGAGAACACUCUCAAAGAAAAAAUUGAACCUUUGAUGUCAAUCUCUCACAAACAACCUAAUACAAGGAAGAAAGAAAGCUCUUGGCUAAACCCUAGUUGUUUCUACAUAUUAGUCUCUCCACACUCAUUGAAGUAUGUUCUAAGACCCUUAUAUAUAGUCUAAGACAUAUUAGAAACCCUAAGAUCAAAGGGCUUGAAGCCCAACCAAUUCCGCAACAAAACCCUUGCUCGACUUGGUCGAGUAGCUGUCUUCAGCUCGAGGGGCUGCCUUGGUCGUGCACCAUUUCCCUCGAUCUUUGCCUUGCCCAAAGUUCUCCAAAUCAUCAACAUUAAUCACCUCAUCAAGUGAUCCAAAGCUAAUUCUCCCAUAUUCGCACACACUUCAUCACUCUUAAGUGUGCAUGCCAUUGAGUAAGCUACUAGGUGAUCAAAGUCACCUCCAACAUUGUGAGAGUUGGCUCUUGCUCUAACACCUAAUUUUCCCAUCCCUAUAACAGUAGCCAUUUGAAUACCAUAAAUAGUUCAUAUUAACUCAUUCAAUGACUUUGCACAUACAACAUUGUUCACUUUGAUAUCCAUCAUCAACAUUUCAACCUCCUAGUAGUAGUCGCCCAUUUUGUUGUGACCAUCUGCUUGCUUGUUUCCAAACUCAUGCAUUUAUCAGCAGAAAACAUAAUGGUAUAUCUAGAGUUGUUAGCUCUAUUUACCAUUAUUGGAAAGCUAGACUAUAUGAAGCAAUUCUUUAUUAUGUCCAUAAAUAAUUGUCAAGGUUUGAUGUAUAAUUUAGAAGAAUUAGAUUAACAAAAAGGGGUUUUCCAAAUGUAACAAGGUUAAGAAAAUGAAUGUGUUUGGCUUAGAAGGUCUAGGUAUAAAAAUGGAAUGAUUUUAAGGAAUUUAUGUGGGUGUAAUAUCGAAUGGUAAAAUACUGUUUGGGUUUGACAGGGUUUCAAGGGUUUUGGAUAGGGUUUAAAGGUAUUCUGGAACAGGUUUUUCAAGGUUUUGAAACACGUUUCAAAGACUCUUUUUCUGGUAUUUUAAUGUUAUGGAAAAUAAAUGAAUAAACUAGGAAUACUCACUAGAUUUUUAUGAUUCAAGGAUAUGCAAGCAAGGAACACUCACUCUAAUUAAUCAUACAAAUUAGUAUGUUUGGAACUCUCAAAACACUCACUAAUUCCUUCAACAAUGAGAAAUUAACCUCACUAUUGGAAAAUCAUUCAAAAUACUUAAUCACAAGUAUAAAAACAAAUGCAUAAGACAGAGCUUUUGAUUGGAUUCUUUUAUUCACGAAAAUAAGGCCUUUAAAUAGGCUUAUAAAACAUAAGAAAAUUCUAGAGAAAGACCCUUCACAUGACUACAAGCAAUCAAGUGAUUACUGAUUACAUUAAAACAUACUCAAAAUUCUAUGAAACCCCUUUCAAAUUCUACUACUGAAAUUACAAUCUUUAUUGAAAGAAAACUAAACAACUAUACUAAUAAAAACAUUAAUUAAAAUUCUCAAAUUCCAACCAUUAAAAGAUAAUAUUUCGUCCCUUAUGAUGCUUGUGACCCGAAACUCUUGGUUGCUCAUGGAAUGUUUCCUAUCUUUUGAUAGGCUUCUUGAAUUCCACCGUUAAAGAUGAACAUAAACCAACCAUAUUGAAGGGGAAUGAAGAGCUGAAAGAAUUCAGCCAUAAUGAAGGAAUAAUUCAGCAAAAUGUAAAUAAUGGAAUAAAAUACUUGCCAUAUUUAACCACCGAAUAAAUGAGGAAAUAAUACCCUCAUGAAUAUUCCUAUUUAAAGCUAAUUGAAGGCUAAUUUGACUGGCUUAUUUUUGGAAAGAAUUUCAAAUAAACAUCCUUUUUUUAUUAUAUUGAAAUCGUAGCUCUCUUGCACCCUUAAGGACGAAUUCUGGUGCCCUUUAAAUUCCUACCAAGACCUUAGGAUACAAGUCAAAGCAAGACUCGUAAUGAAAGGACCAUGUAACUCGUAAGAAUCAAAUGAUGAAUCUUCGAAGGACUUAACUAGGAGUAUAUCUUUAGAAUGUUCUUGGACUGAAUUUACAUCAAGGUUUCAACAUAAUCUUACCAAAAACUUCAUCCUUGUAUAACUUGUCCAUUCAACCCUCUUCCUAUCGGUAUCCUUCUCCCUUUCUUGAUUAUAAUAGAGCUCUUGUAAGUUGUGACUGCUUGUGUCACUCAACUAAACACUACCUAUUAAUAGUGGCGGAUCCAAACAAAAAAAAUUAGGUGAGCCAAGAUUUGAAUUCUCAAUAUCUACCUUUCUAUUCUAAUUUUGUAUAAUGACCCAAAAAUUUCGGAGAGGCAGCUCCUUUAGGCCACACUAAAGAUCUGCCAUUGCCUAUUAAAACGUUCUUUCUUGCCAUUGCUUUUUGGUAUUUUCUUGCCAUGUAGAGUAGAUCUUAUACCUUUGCCUUUCUGGUACUUAUUGAUUGAAUCUUUCCAAAAUAAGGUCUUUUUAAGUUCACAUGUUACCUUUAACUUAGAUAAAACCUUUGAUUAAACCAUUCAUUAACAGCUUAUUCGAUUCUUUAUAUUUAAUGACUAAUAAAAAUGAGUGAAACGAGAGCUAGAUUAGAGUCUAAGAGGUAUUCUCAAACUCUAAUAUCACCAUGAUCGAAAAGGUUUGAAGUACCUUGAUGAACUAUAACAAUUUCAAUGAAUUAACAAUGUUUGAAAGAAAAUAAUCAAUGCAAAAUUGACACAAUGAUUUAAGAGGUUCACCCAAUUAUGGCUAUGUCCUCCGAGGUGUGUAGUAUCUUGUUCAUACUAUUUCAAUGGAGUAUAACACCUCUUACAAAUGAAGUAUUACAAUUGAGUAAGAGAACUAAAGGCUAUGUGUUUUAGGCUUGGGGGUUUGUGUUUGAUGUUGUUUUGAUGAGCAUAUGAGCUCCCUAUUUAUAGGAGUAAUUACAUUUAAUGAUAAUGCAUACUUAAUACAAUGGAUUAACUACAUAAUAAACAACCCAAGCAAGUGAAGAAAACAGGAUCCAAUGCUGUCAGACAACCCUGCUCGUUCGAGCCACUGAAAUGCUCGUUUGAGCAAGUCUUCUAGAAGGCUGUUGCUGCCAACUUGUGAAGUGCUUGUUUGAGCAAAAUAACAGCUCGUUCGAGCACUGCUUCCAGACCCAUUCUAAUUAGCUACUGAUCUUCAUGCUCGUUCAAGGCACUUUGGAUUCUUCACUUGCCUCAUUCAAGACGUAUUACACAGAACCAAAACUGAUGCAAUUCCCUUAUUAACCUGAUUCAUCAUGCCAUCUUAAUUCCCAUGUUAAGAGCUGAAAAUGAAAGCCUCAAAGAGGUUUAACAAUGAAAAACAAAUGAAAAAUAUAAUGCAAAUAUGAACACAGUGUAUAUGAGGUAUCUAGGAUACCUCCCCCUCAAAUGUAGUUUAUUAUAUUGAAUUCAACAAUUACAAGUAUAAUAAACCUCCUAUUCUCUUGAGAACAAUCUCUCAAGAUCACAAAUACUAAAGCAAAAUAAGAACACUCUCAAGUUUCUAACCAUGCAAUAGCCCUCACAAUAUGUGUGUUUGUGGUGAAAAUUACUGAGUGAUGAAUCCUAUUUAUAGGCAAGGUAUUCAUCACUCUUAGUAUUCCCUCAUAAAUCACCAUAAACUCACAUGUAACUGAUCGGGACUUUAUGUCCUUCAAUAGUAAUACCGCAAGUGCACGGCGUAGAGUAGUACGUCGGCAAGUACGGGUCGAAUCCACAAGGAGUGGGAAUUAAGUUAAUAGUUUCUCAAUCGAUUAGUGUGUUCGAAAACGUAUAAUAUAAUGUUUGGAGAUAUUAAAAGAAAAUUAAAACGAGCAAUAAAAAAAAACAAAGAAACUUAAUGAAAACAAAUUAGCAAAGUAAAUAAGGAUACAAUGAACUAAAAGCAAGGAUAAAAUGAUCAAAAAAAAAACUAAGAGGCAUAGAGUAGGCCUUCUCACUAAAGUAGUGUUUACUAAACAUCAACCUUAGGUCAUGGAUAUUUUGUUAUGGGGAAGAACGUAUCAUAAGUACUAAUGUUCUCUCUCGAACAACAAAAGCUUCUUAACCAUACUCAACUACCUAUUCUCAUGGAGCUAAUACAUGAUUUAAGACAUGAAGCACACAUUCAACAUUUCCAAUCAAAGCAUCUACCUAUUCUCAUAGAGAUGUCUUAACUUUUAAGCAUAGAUUAUCGUUAAAAAUCGACUCUCGCCCUCAAUUCAACAACACCACAACAUGAUAGCAAAAUCCAUCUUAAACCAUAAACAACACAACCAAACCAAAGGUAAAGAAAGCAAUUCAAACUACAUUCAUGGUGAUAAUGCCUAGCCUAAGCCAAAACAAACUACUCACUCAUACUCAUAAUGAAAUUGUAGAAUGCAGCAAGUCAAGAAUCGUGAAUGAACAAAUUAAGCUAGUGUAUCCUAAAGAGAUGGAAUCAAUAUAAGUUGAAGAGCUACAAGCAUGAAUAUAUGAAACUAAAGCAAAUAAUCAACGGGAUUAAGCGACAUGAAUUGAAAACAAUAUAGCAAGGAUAGAAGUUACUCUUUUGAGCUCAAUCUAAGGAUGAACAAGAUGAAUUGAUGAUUCAAAGUAAUACCUUCCAAAAGCUUCAAUAAUAGUACAUCAAUGGUUCAAGAAUUCCAAAUUGCAAAACAUUACAAUAAAGGAUAAAGUAAAGAUUGUAUUUGGAAAAUGAAAAUACUAGAUUGAAUUGAAAUAGAAAUUAUGCUAACACUAAUUCUUAAUUGAAAUGAAAGCAAGACUAUGAAAAAUACAAAAAUUACUCAAGAUGAAAGGUUGAAAAAACUGAGAUGCAAGCUCCUUCUUCCUCUUCUCUAUUUAUAGGCUUCAAAAACAAGUGGGGGUGGUGGUUUCAUGAUUGCUCCACCACCCCUAGGUUAUAGGUGAGCAGUGUAUGCAACUAGAGGGGCUAGUUUGUGCUCGGUGUAUAUGAUUAGAUCCUGAAAUGAAAUAAAAUACCAAAGCAACAAAACAAGCGUAAAAUCCAAUAAACCAAUGCAAUAACAUGUAGUUUACUCACACUAAACAAGCCACUUAUAAGGGUAAAAAUAAAGAUAAAAUGUAGCUAACAAAUUCCCCCAAGCCAGACCUUUGCUUGUCCUCAAGCAAGCAUUGCAUCAAUAAGAGAAAAUAAAAUCGAGAAUCAGUCAUAGAUGAACAUGAAUGAUCUAACAAAAGCUAUAGUCAUGAACUCAUAAGCCACAAUUUGUCAAAAGAUGUAUGAUAGAUCAGCAAGCUAUGAUUAUCAAUUCUAAAAGGUUUGAAGUGUGUUCCUGUUCUACAAAUUAUUCUCAAAACAAGUUGUCAAGCAAUGAUCUUGCCAUACUGAGUCUAAGACUCCCAAAUCAAUCACAAUGGAUAUAAGUGGACCUCACUUUUCGGUAUAUUAGCCAAGAUGAACAACCACACUCAAGUGUUUAAAGUUACGCUCAUUCCCUCAUCCUAUGGCUCAAAGUGAUGUGAGCCUCUAAAUAGAGAUGUGGCAAAGUUUCGCACCUCGGUACUCGAGGACUCAAAGGCUAAGACUUCACUAGAAGUAGGUGGAUCGACCUAAAAGAGGUGAAUUGAAAAAGGUUAGAGUAAGAUGAAAUGUAGAAAGGAUAAGGGUAAAGUUACAAAAAGAGGUAACAUAACUAGUUAACUCAAACAAACCAAAAUGAUCCAUGGUUUCACACACCUUGGCAUUUAUUAACAACUAAUAAUUUUUCUAUACAAUUUUUUUUUUAUUAUUUUUUUUUUUGUAUUUUGAUGAUAAAAACAAAGAUAAUAUAAAAAUAAACAUUACACUAUCAAAAGUGGGUAGUAAAAUCAAGAGACUCUUAGAGUCGUACAAUACCAACUUUGUGUCUAAAAUUAAAAUAUCACCAUGAUAUAUGUAAGUGGUGACUUCAAGAAAAUAUAAAAAGACAAUUGCAAGCUAAAAACUCAAGCCAAGUGUGAUAAACCAACCACCAACAUACCAUCAACCAAACAAACUAGUAUGCUAAAGAGUUAGGGAUGAAGGUGAAAGAAGGUGAAAGCGAAGGGUUAUAAAGGAAAAUGGAAUGCUCGAAAGAAAGUGGGGUAUAAUGUAGGUUAACAAGAGGGUAAGAAAGAAAAGGAAUAAGCUCGAUCCAAACUAGCAACUAGAUCCAUAUAAUACCCAAGUCCUUCAAGUCAUGCCUAGUGCGCUACAAAUUCACAAUCUCAUUAAUUUACGUGAAUGCAUGGUAGGGGCUCAAUAAAUACUUACGGGUUCAAAAUAUGUCCACAAAAAUCCAAGGGCGGUGCCACAAACCAAAUCAAUGCUCAACUUUUGUUUUGAGAACUCAAGGUUCACAGGAUUGGAAAUCAAGAAAAAAUUUAGAAGAAAUAAUCUAAACUUGCCAAGGUAUUAUACAUAGAUUAAGAAUAUGGCCCAAAAUGAAAUUAAGUUAGCUACUAAAGAUCAAAAAUGUGCAUGAAUGUGAUUCAAGGCAUCGAAAACAUAACUAAAUAAAGAAAAUAGUAAUCUAGACUACAAAAGUAAUAAAUCAGAAAGAAAAUCAAUGAAAACAUGCAUAUAUACACAAGAAGAACCUAAGGAGACCAUAAACACAACACCUCCCCCCAGUCGAACUAAGCAGUGUCCUCAAUGCGACAAAGGGGCAUUAGAGAAGGUGUGAGGACGCUAGGCGUCACUCUCAUCGUCCUCUUCAUCCUCUUCAUCUCCCUCAUCAUUAUCUUCCUCAUCAUCAUCUCCCUCUUCCUGUGCUCCAGGACCAAAAGAUGUACUACCGUCCCCCUUGGAACUGUAAACAUAACCAAAAUCACCCGGUGGCGGUGUGUACCAUGAUGGGUGCACAUGACCUGGGGCGAUAUGCCCCUGGCGGUAAUGAUGGUCAUAUACCGGAUAUUGGCUUUGCUGGUAGUCGACCAUGAAUUGGUCGAUCCAGCUCUGUUGCUCCUUUAUUUGGUCAAACCGCUGAUCAUAGCCGUCCAGACGCAGGUGUAAGCGCUGUAAAGAGGCCAGGACGGGAUCAGGGUCGGUAUGGUGGGGUGAAGGUGGGGGUGGAGGUGGUGCAUGAGAGGUGCCACCAAACUCGUAGUUAGAGGAUGGGCCUCCGUGCUCAUAUGCAGGUGAGGGGCGACGUUCCUCACUUGCAGAAAAAGAGCCGCCUCGUCUUCGACGGGAGUACUGAUUGUGGAAAGCCUGAGGUGGUUGCCUUUCCACUGUUAGAGGGUCAGGUACCCACCCUUUUGGUUCAAAGAGAUAGGUGGGACGGUUUGGGAUUAAGUCGGGAAGAGCUUGGGUGGGGAGAGGGAUACCUAUUUGUCGGUCAUGAAGCUUCCACCAUGUCUGACCAUUUGAAAGUUCUAGCCACUUAGAUUGAACUAAGUGGGUCAUGCUGAUGGUGGUGGCCUCUCUAGGUAGUACCCCUUUUCCUCUUCAACCAAAAUGCAUAGCAAUUUGGGUGAUGAGUUCGCCAAACUGUAUCGGUGUUCGAACAGUGUUAGGUUGAUUAAUAGUAUGGCGGAAUGUGUGGACUAAAAGUCUAGCUAGGUUAAAGGUAAAACCCCAUUCAGGGCGGAGGAUUGAGCCUAAAAUAAUCAAAUCGUUACUAUUGGCCUUAUUGGACUCAGAUUUGGCCGUGAUGGUGAAAGCCAUGAACUUGAGCCACAUCCUGAUAACAGGGUGAUGAACCUUUUUCAGAACUAAAUUCUGCAGGUUGGUCAAGUGUUCUCCUGAUAUUAACGGCCAAAUUCGGGAAGGGUGUUGUUCAUAGUCUAGUCCUCCCCCCAUGUCGUUCAGACCAAAUAAAUCAGCAAGCUCAGUUGUAGUGAGCUGCCGCUCAAUUCCAUCUAUCCUGAAAUACAAUGAGGUUUCUCCAAACUCAUCUUGUGUUAUGGUCAAUGAACUUAAGAACUCGAGGACUAACUCAGGGUAUGUUUCUCUAUGCAUAUUGAACAUAAAACCCAUGCCUAUUGCUCUAAAAAAAUGCAUAGCAUACUCAAAUAAUCCUAGGUUUCUAAGCACAUUAGCACAAACAAACCUAGUAGGAAUGAUGGGCCUUUCUUUAAGAUUUUGAAACUUAUCUCGUUGGUCUUCAUUCCUAAAAAUUAUGUUGGGGUAGUCCUCGUCGGGUUCAACUCUUUGUGGUGAUGGAGUCCUUUCCCUCCUCCUUUGCCUCCUUUGUGCCAUUAGCUUGUUUUGAUUGAUGAUUUCCUAAAACAAAGAUUAAACAAGCAAAGAACAAAAAAUCUCUACUAAAAAGUAAAGAUUAAUUAGUAGAAAGCAAAUAAAAACUCAAAUCUUGAACAAUUUAGCAACUUUUACCUCAAUCCUACAAACCCUAAUUGUUGAUGGAUGUUGAUGAAAAUGGAACAAUGUGGAUGUAAUGUGUAAAUUUGAAGAGUGAAUGUUGUUGUUAAUGAGUGAAUGUAGAAGGAUUGAAGGAUUUUAGGGCUUAGGUUUUGAGUUUUGAGUGAGAGAAAGUAGGAGGAAAUGAUAUUGCUCGAGUGAGAAAUGAGUGUUUAGUCGAGCAAAUCUGGAUUUAAACAUGAUUCUGUCAGAUUCUGCAUCUCGCUCGACCUGUCGAGUGAAGUACAGGUUUCUUCCUUCUCUUUUUUUUUAUUGCUCGUUUUAAUUUUCUUUUAAUAUCUCCAAACAUCAUAUUUAUACGUUUUCGAACACACUAAUCGAUUGAGAAACUAUUAACUUAAUUCCCACUCCUUGUGGAUUUGACCCGUACUUGCCGACGUACUACGCUACGCCGUGCACUUGCGGUAUUACUAUUGAAGGACAUAAAGUCCCGAUCAAGUUUUUGGCGCCGUUGCCGGGGAGUGGCGACUUUGUUAAUUGUUUUUCUUGAUUAGUUAGUUCAUUGUUCUCUAUCAUUUUGAGUUGGUUUCAUUUUUUUCUUCACUUUGCACUUGACCCCGAUUUUUGAGUGUAGUGUAUGCAAACUAGGUCUCAAAGACAAGAAAAUCUUGUACCUAUAAAUCCUGAAAUUGGGAAAAGAAGAAGGAAAAGGAAACAACGAAAUAGGUCGAGCCACCUUCAGGUUCAACAUCAGAGACUUCAAGAAUGGGACAGAAUGUAAAAAUCAACUCCGCUCGACCCGAGCCAUUGUGCUCGACCAGUCGAGCAGAUAUACUGUGCUCCUGAAUUAAAUCCUGCUGAUGAUCAGAAACUUCUGAAAAUGUGAAUGCACUUCGCUCGACCCGAGCCAUCUUGCUCAAGUGGUCGAGCGGAUCUUUUUUGGCUUGUUCUUGUGGCUUGGCUCAUGAUGUUUCGCUUCUUUGAAUCCUCGGUGUUUAGGUUAAGAAGGCAUCAAAACGAUUAAGUCAUUUUUGAAAGGAGAAAAACUCAAUACUUUUGUGCAAAUUUUGUCAAGUUGUACAACAUUGACUAUUCAAUUUCACAAAUUUGUUGGCAAUAUAAUUGUUAGAGGGUGUUGGUUCCAUUAUUUUUAUACAGCUGGAGGAACGAUUAUGGAAGAGUAAUCGAGGGUGUUUUCAUAUGGGCAUCCUGUUAUAAACUAGGGAUGACAAUAUCAUAAAUUUUUUAAAAAACACUGCGUACUUAGAAAA